UGAGAGGUCGACGGGAUUGUUCGGCACGAGCCCCCCGUGAAUCAUGACGCCAUGAAUGGACACCGGAAUCGCCACCGGCUGACCAUAAUCGACAUGACCGUUUACGUCACAGGUCAUUCUAACAAGAAAACAAGCAAUGCUCCAAAGUGUCUGGGUAGUGAAUCCAGUCAUUCAAAGUUCAGUGCAGAUUAUAAAAGUACCCUUCUUGUCGUCCCUACCACCACCACUUGGAUGGAGCAACCGAAUCAUAAAGAAAUCACUCAUUUGCUCUGUGCGAUGAGGGGACCAUCCUACGUAUAAAUAAGGGACAAGAAAUAUCGGCGUCAAUCACUAGUGAUGACACACUCCUCCGAUAAUCCACCAUCAGGAAACAACACAUGUUGUUGUGACGCUCAAUA